ACGGGUGAGUAAUGCCUAGGAAUCUGCCUGGUAGUGGGGGACAGCGUUUCGAAAGGAACGCUAAUACCGCAUACGUCCUACGGGAGAAAGCAGGGACCUUCGGGCCUUGCGCUAUCAGAUGAGCCUAGGUCGGAUUAGCUAGUUGGUGAGGUAAUGGCUCACCAAGGCGACGAUCCGUAACUGGUCUGAGAGGAUGAUCAGUCACACUGGAACUGAGACACGGUCCAGACUCCUACGGGAGGCAGCAGCC
rnacentral:rRNA from 1 species